AUGCAUUUAACCACUCUUGCUGUCGGUGACUCUCCACAGUGUGACAGAGCACAUGGCCUGGUACAGACGGACAACAUGACCUCCGCCAGGUUUCUGGAGCUUCUGCUGUUCCUCCUCCUCCUCCUCCUCCACCAGGUCUCCAGCGAGGAGGCAGAGCCCAUGUUCAGAGCCGAGGGCGGCGUAAUCGAGAUGGGCUAUUGUUUCGGAGUGGAUUACAUCGUUGUUUACAGAUCCACCCCGGAGGGAGACCGGCUGCUUGGAAACUCCUCGGCUGACGACUCGCCCGUUACACCUCCUGCAGACCUUCGGGGUCGCGUCCACAUCAACAAAGACCAGCACCUGCUCGGGCUGCAGAUCAGAAACCUCACACACACGGACUCUGGGAUAUAUAGGAGGGAAUGCUGGCAGAACCAGAAACUUGUCAGCCAGCAUGCACAGGAGCUUCUUGUGUGCGAGCUGGAGGUUCAACACAAAGAGAUCAUUGUAAAGGAACAAGAUGGAGGGGCUGAGCUGCUCUGCAACAGCACUUCCAUCGGUCUGGAGGGGACGUCCGUGCGCUGGUACAGUGAGAUGUAUCCGUCUUUCAGGCCCACCCUCUUCCUGGAUAGCAGCGUGUCGCUGGACCCUCUGGUGGAGGAGCUGCAGGGUGGCGUCGAGGUCAGACAUAAAGGGGCGUUGCUGUUGCUUGACAACAACGCGUUAAAGAAUAACCAGCAAUUUUACUGCAUAGUGAUCCAAGAUAAGAAGUGUCUCAGUUUCCAGGACAUGUACCUGCCUGUCCAAAGUGAAAGCAGGGACGUGUAUGCGUCACAAGGCGACAGAGUGGUGCUUAACUGCCCCUCUGAGGGGAAACUCCAGCAGUGGCAGACACCACAGGGGAAGAUCAACGGCAGCACUGAGACGAACAAUCAGAUGUUCAUAUCAUCAGGUGACGAUUCAGAGGACUUCUCACUGGUAAUUCCUGCAGUCUCUGACGACCAUCUUGGACAGUAUACCUGCGUCUCUACUUCGCUUGAAGUUCAGUACUCGCUGGUUCUCUGCCCCAAAAAGAAAUCCCAACAAAAAGUUGCUUUUAAAGGCGGCAACGUCUUCCUGGAUUGUGAGGUUAGCGAAGGCGACCCCCGAAGGGUGCAGUGGCACCGCCAGACACCGUCAGGUGAAAAUGAGCUCAUCCAGGACUCAAAGGACAAGACGGUUCCAAUCCCGGCGGAUCUGAGGAGCAGAGUGACUCUGUCUGACGACGGCUCCUCGCUGAAGAUCUCCCUCCUGGGGAAGAGCGAUGGAGGGGUGUACUGGUGUGUUGUUUUAGCAGGCCCUCAGUUACUGGAGGAGGGGGAGGAGGCGGAGGAGGAGGAGGAGGAGGGGUGGCCACAUGAUUACACCGUAGACCCGACGGCAGAAGUUGAUUUGAGUGAGUAUGAUACUGGGGAAGAUGAUGGAGACUGGCCUUAUGCACACAGGUGCAUCUUCAAACAGGAAACCAUCUUGAGGGUAAACAAGGGAAGAACAGGUGUCGGUUCACCACCAGUGAACAUCACCCCAACUGACCCGCCACCAGCUGCACCAGUGAACAUCACCCCAACUGACCCGCCACCAGCCUCUAAUGUGACUGCGAUUGCUGUGGGAGGGGCGCUGGUGGGGCUGCUGGUGGUCGUGGUGAUCGUUGUAGGGAUUCUAAUAAAGAGGAAGUCAAAGGCCUCACCGGAGCGGAGAAAAGCAGCUCGAUCCGGAAAGAACACGACCGGGGACAUAAAACUGAAUGUGGACCCCGGGUGCACUGAGAGUUUAACUCAGACUGAUGGAUGA
ensembl:lncRNA